GGCUGGUCCAGGAUGUGCCGCGGUGUUUACAACUAAUUGAUCACAGCAAGUUACAGAUUUCUUGUUCCUUCUCCACUCCCACUGCUUCACUUGACUGGACUUAA
rnacentral:Y_RNA from 1 species